GUGGAUUAGAUACCCUAGUAGUCCACGCUGUAAACGAUGUCGACUUGGAGGUUGUGCCCUUGAGGCGUGGCUUCCGGAGCUAACGCGUUAAGUCGACCGCCUGGGGAGUACGGCCGCAAGGUUAAAACUCAAAUGAAUUGACGGGGGCCCGCACAAGCGGUGGAGCAUGUGGUUUAAUUCGAUGCAACGCGAAGAACCUUACCUACUCUUGACAUCCACAGAACCUGGCAGAGAUGCCAGGGUGCCUUCGGGAACUGUGAGACAGGUGCUGCACGGCUGUCGCCAGCU
rnacentral:rRNA from 1 species